rnacentral:rRNA from 1 species
GUGGGGAAUAUUGGUCAAUGGACGAAAGUCUGAACCAGCCAUGCCGCGUGGAGGAUGAAGGUCCUCUGGAUUGUAAACUUCUUUUAUCUGGGACGAAAAAAGGUCUUUCUAGAUCGUCUGACGGUACCAGAUGAAUAAGCACCGGCUAACUCCGUUCCAGCAGCCGCGGUAAUACGGAGGGUGCAAGCGUUAUCCGGAUUCACUGGGUUUAAAGGGUGCGUAGGUGGGUUGGUAAGUCAGUGGUGAAAUCUUCGAGCUUAACUCGUAAACUGCCAUUGAUACUAUCAGUCUUGAAUAUUGUGGAGGUUAGCGGAAUAUGUCAUGUAGCGGUGAAAUGCUUAGAUAUGACAUAGAACACCAAUUGCGAAGGCAGCUGGCUACACAUAUAUUGACACUGAGGCACGAAAGCGUGGGGAUCAAACAGGAUUAGAUACCCCAGUAGUCC